UACGUAGGAGGCAAGCGUUGUCCGGAAUUACUGGGUGUAAAGCGCGUGUAGGCGGCAGGCCAAGUCUGUGGUGAAAUCGCUCGGCUCAACUGGGCGGGGUCCAUGGAAACUGGUCAGCUGGAGGACGGUAGAGGUGAGUGGAAUUCCCGGUGUAGUGGUGAAAUGCGUAGAGAUGUGGAGGAACACCGAUGGCGAAGGCAGCCCCCUGGGUCAAGAUUGACGCUCAUGCACGAAAGCGUGGGGAGCAAACAGG
rnacentral:rRNA from 1 species